ACCAGACUCCUACGGGAGGCAGCAGUGGGGAAUAUUGCACAAUGGGGGGAACCCUGAUGCAGCGACGCCGCGUGGGUGAAGGAGCACCUCGGUGCGUAAAGCUCUAUCAGCAGGGAAGAAAAUGACGGUACCUGACUAAGAAGCCCCGGCUAACUACGUGCCAGCAGCCGCGGUAAUACGUAGGGGGCAAGCGUUAUCCGGAUUUACUGGGUGUAAAGGGAGCGUAGACGGUCCUGCAAGCCAGAUGUGAAAGCCCGGGGCUCAACCCCGGGACUGCUCUUGGAACUGCGCGGCUGGAGUGCAGGAGGGGCAGGCGGAAUUCCUGGUGUAGCGGUGAAAUGCGUAGAUAUCAGGAGGAACACCGGUGGCGAAGGCGGCUUACUGGACCAUAACUGACGUUGAGGCUCGAAAGCGUGGGGAUCGAACAGGAUUAGAUACCCGAGUAA
rnacentral:rRNA from 1 species